AUUGAACGCUGGCGGAAUGCUUUACACAUGCAAGUCGAACGGCAGCAUAGGUGCUUGCACCUGGUGGCGAGAGGCGAACGGGUGAGUAAUACAUCGGAACGUGCCCAGUCGUGGGGGAUAACGUAGCGAAAGUUACGCUAAUACCGCAUACGAUCUAAGGAUGAAAGCGGGGGACCGUAAGGCCUCGCGCGAUUGGAGCGGCCGAUGUCAGAUUAGGUAGUUGGUGAGGUAAAGGCGCACCAAGCCGACGAGCUGUAGCUGGUCUGAGAGGACGACCAGCCACACUGGGACUGAGACACGGCCCAGACUCCUACGGGAGGCAGCAGUGGGGAAUUUUGGACAAUGGACGCAAGUCUGAUCCAGCCAUUCCGCGUGCAGGACGAAGGCCUUCGGGUUGUAAACUGCUUUUGUACGGAACGAAAAAGCUCUUACUAAUACUAGGAGUCCAUGACGGUACCGUAAGAAUAAGCACCGGCCAACUACGUGCCAGCAGCCGCCGUAA
rnacentral:rRNA from 1 species